rnacentral:rRNA from 1 species
UUGGAGGGCAAGUCUGGUGCCAGCAGCCGCGGUAAUUCCAGCUCCAAUAGCGUAUAUUAAAGUUGUUGCAGUUAAAAAGCUCGUAGUUGAAUUUCGGGAUCAGAGUGUCGGUCGUGCCUCGGUACGCACUGGUAUUAUUGGUUCCUACCUUCUGAAGAACCGCGAUGUCAUUAAUUUGGUGUCGUGGGGAAUCAGGACUGUUACUUUGAAAAAAUUAGAGUGUUUAAAGCAGGCUUACGCUUGAAUACAUUAGCGUGGAAUAAUGAAAUAGGACGUUUGAUUCUAUUUUGUUGGUUUCUAGGAUUGACGUAACGAUUAAUAGGGAUAGUUGGGGGCAUUAGUAUUCAAUUGUCAGAGGUGAAAUUCUUGGAUUUAUUGAAGACUAACUACUGCGAAAGCAUUUGCCAAGGAUGUUUUCAUUAAUCAAGAACGAAAGUUAGGGGAUCGAAGACGACCAGAUACCGUCGUAGUCUUAACCAUAAACUAUGCCGACUAGGGAUCGGAUGAUGUUAAUUUUUUAAUGACUCAUUCGGCGCCUUACGGGAAACCAAAGUGUUUGGGUUC